rnacentral:lncRNA from 1 species
GUGCAAAAAAAUGUACAAAUCGUUAGUCAACGAUAACAACAUAUAUGUAUGCAUAAAAAUGUAAAGUUUUGAGAUAAGGAGGAAGUGCGAGAUUUUCUUUUGGGAGGAGAAAGUCAUUCUAGACGAGCUAAAAUGCAUAUAUUGGUCGCUUCUCUAAUUUGGAUAGAGAUGGAGUCAUAUCGCAACUCCAAACGCGCUCCCCUCCCCAGUGUACAUGUAUAACAGAGAAAGGAAAAAGAGAUUAGUAAGACGAUUUAACUUUAGAUGAUAUUUAAUAUAUAAAUAAACCAAGCAAAAUCAUACAAUAAAUAUACCACUCUGGAACAAGAAGAUGGAAACGUCGGACAAGACACAUUUUUUGCAGCAGGCGACCAACUAAAUAUAACCAAAUCACAUAUAUUUUGAGCACAUGCCAACAUGAAUAACCAAGUCACAGUACUUCAAAUUUACACAUGCCACACACACGCACGCGCGCGCACAUAUAUAUAUAUAUAUACUAAUAGAAUUAAUAAAGAAAUUUUAAAACUCAUAUUUUUAUGGGUAUAGGAAAGAAGAGGCAAGCUGCAUUUGAGACAUUUGCACAAUCAAAAAUUACAUUCUUCACAAAACAACAUAUGCGCGCGCGCACAUAUAUAUAUAUAUACUAAUAGAAUUAAUAAAGAAAUUUUAAAACUCAUAUUUUUAUGGGUAUAGGAAAGAAGAGGCAAGCUGCAUUUGAGACAUUUGCACAAUCAAAAAUUACAUUCUUCACAAAACAACAUAUGCGCGCGCGCACAUAUAUAUAUAUAUACUAAUAGAAUUAAUAAAGAAUUUUUAAAACUCAUAUUUUUUAUGGGGUAUAGGAAAGAAGAGGCAAGCUGCAUUUGAGACAUUUGCACAAUCAAAAAUUACAUUCUUCACAAAACAACAUGAUCUGCUCAUCAUUUAAAAAAAAAAAACUAAAACACAACAAAACUAUAUCUUUUAAAACAAGUUUUCUGUAUUGAAAAACAUGAACUGAAAACUCUUAUCACAUGAUCAUCUAUCUGGAGUAAAAGAAACAAAACUAAUUCAUGUAAUCAUGAAAAGAAAACAGUUUUGAAGCUCAACGUCUAAAACACGAAAAUUAAAAUAAAUUCAAUCUUUGUACAGAUCUCAAAACAGGGUUCAAAUACAUUCUUUAACCUUGGUUUUUACCUUGGCUAUAGAUAUAAGGUCUAUUGAAUAUAUAUCUAAGAGGGAGGGAUUAACUUCCAUAAUCAUAGCUUAAUACAAAACAGAACAAUGAUCAUGGAUCAUAGACUAUAUACUGUCCAAAAUUCACAACAUAAAAGAAAGCUAACAACAUGAACAAACAUCCCGUAAAACGAAGAUCCUAAAAAAUGUGAUUUCUAAUGAUAAAAUAAAGAGAUUCGAGUCAGAUUUUCACCUGUUUCGGGGCAAUGAACUGAAGCUCUUUUGACCUCGGAUAUACCCCUAAAGUUGGACUAAUUCGGACUCGACCACGCACAAGAAUCCAAGGACAAUGAAAAAUAAUAAAAAGUUGGAUAUUUCCAAGAGUAAAAGAGAUGUUUUAGGCAGUUUUUGGUUGUGU